rnacentral:lncRNA from 10 species
CGCUUUUAGCCAUAUGGGUGAAGGGUGAUCUGCACAUCCAUUCAUGCUCUUAAUCAGACAACAGAUCCAAGGCCCGACACUGCUGUAACCAUCAGCACAUGCUUGAAGAUGAUGCUGACACAGAGGACAGCAAAGCCAGUCAAGUCACAAGCACAUGGAGUCAUAGGCACUGGAUUUAAUACUUUUGAAGCAGGUUCUACUUCAGGACUUUCAGUGAGGUAAAUCGAUCAAUUUCCAGGUAAG